AACGAACGCUGGCGGCAUGCCUAACACAUGCAAGUCGAACGAAGGCUUCGGCCUUAGUGGCGCACGGGUGCGUAACACGUGGGAAUCUGCCCUUUGCUUCGGAAUAACAGUUAGAAAUGACUGCUAAUACCGAAUAAUGUCGCAAGACCAAAGAUUUAUCGGCAAAGGAUGAGCCCGCGUAGGAUUAGCUAGUUGGUGGGGUAAAGGCUCACCAAGGCGACGAUCCUUAGCUGGUCUGAGAGGAUGAUCAGCCUCACUGGGACUGAGACACGGCCCAGACUCCUACGGGAGGCGGCAGUGGGGAAUCUUGCGCAAUGGGCGAAAGCCUGACGCAGCCAUGCCGCGUGAAUGAUGAAGGUCUUAGGAUUGUAAAAUUCUUUCACCGGGGACGAUAAUGACGGUACCCGGAGAAGAAGCCCCGGCUAACUUCGUGCCAGCCGCCGCAGUAACAC
rnacentral:rRNA from 1 species